AUGCUCCUACGGGAGGCAGCAGUGAGGAAUAUUGGUCAAUGGGCGCGAGCCUGAACCAGCCAAGUCGCGUGAGGGAGGACGGCCCUACGGGUUGUAAACCUCUUUUGCCGGGGAGCAACGGGCGUCACGUGUGGCGUCACUGAGAGUAACCGGAGAAAAAGCAUCGGCUAACUCCGUGCCCGCAGCCGCGGUAAUACGGAGGAUGCGAGCGUUAUCCGGAUUUAUUGGGUUUUAAGGGUGCGUAGGCGGAUCGUUAAGUCAGU
rnacentral:rRNA from 1 species